rnacentral:lncRNA from 1 species
CGCUUGCUCUCGUUCCUAGGGUUUGGCCUGCAGUGGACGAGCAUCGCAUAGCCUGCGGGGCUGGAUGCUGACCGCCCGGGCCAGCACCUAGGCGGACGCGGAGCUGUGCAGACCAGGGUUCGCGCGGGCCGGGUGGAGGCUCAAGCGGGGACCCCGGAGCGUGAGCCCCGGAGUCGGCGGCGCUGGGGCCAGAGGGGCCGGGAGGGAGGUAUGAUUAUCACCAAGCCAAACAUCAUCAUGGAGUGGAGGUGAAGGAAGUGGAGCAGGGAGAGGAGCCGUGGAUAAUGGAAGGUGAAUUUCCAUGUCAACAUAGUCCAG